GCUUCAGGUACUCCUGUUUGAGACCUCUCCGUUCUCUCUUGGUUUUGUUGUUAGAUCUCCGUUGCUAUGGCUCUGCGAGCACAGAGGUGGCAAGAGCAAAGCCUUCGAAAUAAUUGUCGUUUUAGCGAUCAACUACACGAGCGAGGAUAUGUAGUCAAGUUUUUGAGUGUCUUCGACACGACUGCUCGAUCGACUACUUCAAACGAUACGACUACAUGGUAUGUACUGCUACACGGACUGUACUACAUCAAAUGAGAUGACUACAUCAUCUAGCUACACCAUGGCAUGUCGGCUAUGUCUAAUCGUUAAUAAUUAUAUUUACCAUUGUUAUAUUGGGUAUAGACUUUUUAGAUCUACAUGCACACCUUUAUAUUGUCAUUAAUUGUUUAAUACCAAUUUCAAGAUUAAAAUACAACCUAAAAGUCUGUCUUUUCAUCGAUAAAAAAACGUGAUAGGAUAUUUUUGGCCAUUGACUUUUUAUCAUGCUAAACUGAAUGUUGUUUAGGGUGCAAACUAUAAGAGGUAGUGUCAAAGAUGUGUACUGUGGCUAACGGAUAUACACUACUAUUUUGUUGUCAAACCUAGAUCACCUAGACCAUACAUUGCUGAAGAAGAAUGUGUGUUCCAGGAUGCUGAUACUACGGUUAAGGGGCAAUAGUUGGUGAUACUACGUUUAAGGGGCAAUAACUGGAGUGCUGAGUGAUGACAUAGUAGACUCUUAUAUAACAUGC
rnacentral:lncRNA from 1 species